rnacentral:rRNA from 1 species
GUGAGGAAUAUUGGUCAAUGGGCGAGAGCCUGAACCAGCCAAGUCGCGUGAAGGAAGAAGGAUCUAUGGUUCGUAAACUUCUUUUGCAGGGGAAUAAAGUGCAGGACGUGUCCUGUUUUGUAUGUACCCUGAGAAUAAGGAUCGGCUAACUCCGUGCCAGCAGCCGCGGUAAUACGGAGGAUCCGAGCGUUAUCCGGCUUUAUUGGGUUUAAAGGGUGCGUAGGUGGUUUGAUAAGUCAGCGGUGAAAGUUUGCAGCUUAACUGUAAAAAUGCCGUUGAAACUGUCGGACUUGAGUGUAAAUGAGGUAGGCGGAAUGCGUGGUGUAGCGGUGAAAUGCAUAGAUAUCACGCAGAACUCCGAUUGCGAAGGCAGCUUACUAAGCUACAACUGACACUGAAGCACGAAAGCGUGGGGAUCAAACAGGAUUAGAAACCCGGGUAGUCC